UGGGCUUUGGUACCCUCGGAGAUCCACAUUUGAUUUAAUUGGUUAUUCGGAUACCGAUUGGGCGGGGUGUAAAAUCAAUAGAAAGAGCACAUCGGGGACUUGCCAGUUCUUGGGAAGGUCCUUGGUGUCUUGGGCUUCAAAGAAGCAGAAUUCCGUAGCUCUUUCUACCGUCGAAGCCGAGUAUAUUGCCGCAGGACAUUGUUGCGCGCAACUACUUUGGAUGAGGCAAACCCUUAGGGACUAUGGUUACAAUUUAACCAAAGUUCCUCUUCUAUGUGAUAAUGAGAGUGCAAUCCGCAUGGCGGAUAAUCCCGUUGAGCAUAGCCGCACUAAACACAUAGCCAUUCGGUAUCAUUUUCUAAGGGAUCACCAACAAAAGGGAGAUAUCGAGAUUGCAUAUAUUAACACUAAAGAACAAUUAGCCGAUAUCUUUACCAAGCCACUAGAUGAACAAACUUUUAACAAACUUAGGCAUGAGCUAAAUAUUCUUGAUUCUAGGAAUUUCUUUUGAUGGUUUGCACACAUAGCUCAUUAAUAUACCUUUGAUCAUGUCUCUUUUAUAUGCUAUGACUAAUGUGUUUUCAAGUGAAUUUCAAACCAAGUCAUAGAUUGAAAGGGAUUUGGAGUCUUCGGCGAAGACAAAGGCUUCCACUCCACUUCAUCGAAAUGACUCAUUCUUCGCCGUCGCUCUGAGCAACUCUCCGUCUUUGGUAUAAACUUCACUCAUAUUUUUGUUUGCCAAAGGGGGAGAAAGUAAUAGUUAUAAGGGCUUAUAUUUCACUCUAGUAUCCGUUUUUGGCGAUUUAUGCCAAAGGGGGAGAAAGUAUUAGCCCAAAGCAAAAGGAUCGCACCACCACCGAUUUUUUAAAAAAAAUUGUGUUCAAAUGAUGAAGUUUUUCAACUUGGUAUCUUAUUUUUGAUUUGGAACACCCUCUUCAAAAACUAAUGUCUAAAACCCUCUUGAACACUAAGAGGAGGAUUUUAUUGAGGGGGAGUUUUGUUUAGUCAAAGGAAAAGCAUUUGAAACAGGGGGAGAAAAUGUUAAAUCUUGAAAAUGCUUCUCAAAAUCUUACUCAUUUACCUUUGAAUAUUUGCAAAAGGACUUUGAAAAGAAUUUACAAAAGGAUUUGCAAAAACAAAACAAGUGGUGUAAGCGUGGUCCAAAAUAUAAAGAAACAAUCCAUGCAUAUCCUAUAAGAAUUUAUAUUGGCUCAAUUCUAAGUAACCUUUGCACUUACAAUUAUGCAAAGUAGUUCAAUUAUGCACUUCUAUAUUUGCUUUGGUUUGUGUUGGCAUCAAUCACCAAAAAGGGGGAGAUUGAAAGGGAAUUAGGCUUACACCUUUUUCCUAAUUGAUUUUGGUGGUUGAAUUGCCCAACACAAAUAAUUGGACUAACUAGUUUGCUCUAGUCUAUAAGUUUUACAGGUGCCAAAUGUUCACAAUAAGCCAAUAAAAAGACCAAGAAUGGGUUCAAACAAAGAGAGCAAAAGACAACCCAAAGGCACCCUAGUCUGGCGCACCGGACUGUCCGGUGUGCCACCGGACAGUGUCCGGUGCACCAGGGCACUCGAAGCUGAACUUGCCACCUUCAGGAAAAUCAGAGGGCGCUCCGCUAUAAUUCACCGGACUGUCCAGUGAAGCACCGGACAGUGUCUGGUGCCACACCGGACUGUCCGUUGUGCCAGCGGAGCAACGGCUACUUCGCGCGCAACGGUCGACUGCAACGCAUUUAAUACGCGCCUGCGCGCGUAGAGGACAGAGCACGCGUGGUUGGCGCACCACAGUUUACAGGACCUGUCCGGUGCACCACCGGACAGCCCAGAGGCCCCACAAGUCAGAGCUCCAACGGUCGAACCCCAACGGCUCGCUGACGUGGCUGGCGCACCGGACUGUCCGGUGCGCCAUGCGACUGCAGCUUUCCAACGACCAUCUUUUGGUGGUUGGGGCUAUAAAUACCCCAACCACCCCACAUUCAAUGGCAUCCAAGUUUUCCACAUUCAACACAUUACAAGAGCUAUAGCAUUCAAUUCAAGACACUCCAAAGAGAUCAAAUCCUCUCCCAAGUCCAAAGACAACUCAAAUCAAUAGUGGCUACUGAGAGAGUGAUAUUUGUGUUCAUUUGAGCUCUUGCGCUUGGAUUGCUUCUUUCUUCUCAUUCUUCUUGUGAUCACACUCAAUUGUAAUCAAGGCAAGAGACACCAAUUGUGUGGUGGUCCUUGCGGGAACUUCGUGUUCCGAUUGAUUGAGAAGAGAAGCUCACUCGGUCUAAGUGACCGUUUGAGAGAGGGAAAGGGUUGAAAGAGACCCGGUCUUCGUGACCACCUCAACGGGGAGUAGGUUUGCAAGAACCGAACCUCGGUAAAACAAAUCACCGUGCCUCGCUCUUUAUUUGCUCACGAUUUGUUUUGCGCCCUCUCUCUUGGACUCGUUUAUAUUUCUAACGCUAACCCGGCUUGUAGUUGUGCUUAAGUUUAUAAAUUUCAGAUUCGCCCUAUUCACCCCCCCUCUAGGCGACUUUUAGUGGACUCAACCACCGGAUGUUCUGUGUUGUCUUUCUUGGAUUGCUACUCUGGGUAUCAUCAGAUUAGCUUGGCAAAAAAAGACAAGGAAAAAAUAACAUUCAUCACCCCGUUCGGAGCCUUCUGCUAUACCUCCAUGUCGUUCGGCCUCAAAAACGUUGGAGCGACUUAUCAGAGAGCUAUUCAGACAUGCUUAGCCGACCAUUGGGGCAAGCGUGUGGAUGAUGCGGUGAUCAAGACAGAGGAUUCAGAAAAUUUCAUUGAAGAUUUACAGCUGGUCUUCAACAAUCUACGGCGAUACCGAUGGAAGCUUAAUCCCGAAAAAUGUGUCUUCGGAGUACCGGCAGGAAAGUUGCUCGGGUUCAUUGUCAGCCAUCGGGGAAUUGAGGCCAAUCCAGAAAAGAUCGAGGCUAUCAUGAGAAUGGAAGCACCACGAUCACAGAAGAAAGUACAAAGACUUACCGGAUGUAUGGCAGCUCUAAGCAAAUUCAUAUCAAGGUUGUGAGAAAAAGGCUUACUGUUCUAUAAGUUGCUCAAGAAGGUAGACAAAUUCCAGUGGACUUCAGAAGCACAUGAAGCUCUAGAUGCGCUGAAAAAAUUCUUAACAACACCACCAGUACUAAAACCGCCGCGCCGAGCCACGCCGACUCAACCGGCUGAAGAUCUGCUAUUAUACAUCUCUUGCACGACUCACGUGGUGAGCACCGCAUUGGUAGUCGAGCGAGCAGAAGAAGGACAUGCAUACCCAGUACAACAUCCUGUCUAUUUCAUUAGUGAAGUUCUGGGUCCCUCGAAGAAGAAAUACCCUCAAGUUCAGAAGCUAUUAUAUGCAGUACUUCUAACUGCACGCAAGCUCUGUCACUACUUCGACGACCACAAAGUCAUAGUAGUCAUUGGAUUUCCGAUAGGGGAUAUUCUCCACAAUAAAGAAGCCAUCAGAAGAAUAGCCAAGUGGGCCUGUGAACUGGGAUCUCAUGACAUUGAAUUUCGACCUCGCACUGCCAUCAAAACUCAAGCACUGGUUGACUUCGUAUCAGAGUGGAUCGAGCAACAGGUGCCAGAUAACCCGAAAACCGCAGAAGUAUGGCGAAUGUAUUUUGAUGGCUCAUUAAAGCUGCAGGGAGCAGGCGCAGGGAUCCUCUUUAUUGCACCUGGAGGUGAACAACUCAAAUACGCUCUUCAAUUGUUAUUCCCAGCAUCCAACAAUGUAACAGAAUACGAAGCUCUGAUUCAUGGACUAAACAUUACCAUAUCACUGGGCAUCAAGAGACUGAUGGUAUAUGGAGAUUCGCUGGUGGUCAUAAGUCAGAUAAACAAAGAAUGAGAUUGCUCGAAUGAUUCCAUGGGAAAAUACUGCACUGCUGUCCGGAAACUAGAAGACAAAUUUGAAGGUCUAGAAUUUCAUCAUGUGGAGAGAGACCGCAACGCGGCAGCUGAUACAUUGUCCAAGUUAGGAUCCAGUCGGACUCAGGUCCCACCUAGAGUUUUCGUCCAAGAAGUACUGCACCCGAGCAUUUCACUGGAUCGGGUAGAGGAAUGCAAUAUUCUGAGCCAACCAGAGCCAGAUGAUUGGAGGGAGCGGAUCAUCAGGUAUAUAAAGAAUGAGGAGGAACCAGAUGACAAAAAUGCAGUCGAACGCAUUGCGAGGCAGUCAUCUCAUUACACUCUCAUUGGGGAAACGCUAUACAGAAGAGGCGCGUCAGGAGUCCUCAUGAAAUGCAUUCUCUCAGCUAGUGGAAAACAACUUCUGGAUGAGGUCCAUGCUGGGCAAUGCGGGGUACACGCAGCAUCCAGGACCCUGGUUGGGAAGGUCUUUAGGUCGGGUUUCUACUGGCCAACAGCAAAGAGUGAUGCAGCCGAGUUAGUCUAGAGGUGCGAAGCCUGCCGGUACUUAUCAAAACAGCAACAUCUACCUAUGGUCUACCCAACGAAAUCUUUUCAUGAGCGGUAGAGUAGACUGAGCACCCACACAAUCUCGAUUUGACAAUUUCAGAAAUGGAAGGAUUUACCAAUGAGACCGUCUACAGCAGAGAGGCUACCAGGACACGACCUUUCGCACAAUGGAAAUGGUACUACUGUGUCCCUAAGGGCCCCGUCUUCCUUUUUAGAGAGAACUGAAUCAGAACAUCUUUCUCUAUGAAAAUGGGAGAGUAAAAAGGGAACCGAAAACAUUGAUGUGAGAGCAAUGAUGAAUCGAGCCGCAUCACAUCAACUAGAGAACUUAACAUACGAGUUUUCUAUCAAAACUAUUACCCAUCAAUCUCUAUCCUCGGGGAUAGAAUCCAUCUCACGGCGUACCUGAUAACUACGCUUAUAUACGUCAAUUCAUGGGAAGAUGCUUACAGGAACUUCCAACUACUCACUUUGAGCAGGCAUGUUACGAAGCUGGCUGAACUAAGCCCAAGUUCGGUAAGGCGUAAAGUAAGUGCGAACCCGAAGCGUGGGUAGAGUUGGAAAGAAGCGUAAAGCUGUGUUAGUUCGAUCGCAACAUAGAAACCGCUUUCAUGGUUGCCUCCUAGUGGUUUCGCCAACGAGAACGCAGGCUUAAAAACUUUAUGCUUUCUUUUAUCCAACAACGAUUCAGUAUAAGAAUACCAAGCCAAGCGCAGACGAUCCGGGGAAUUUCCAACUAUUUCUUUCUUGAGAAGUGCGGAGAACACCCCGGAGUAGAUGAACUCAUUGCAGAUACAUUGCAACUUUAUAUGGGACCGAUCUACUUAACACACUACAACACUACACUAUCUAUAUAUAGGUAUAUCAUAAGCGGUAACCUUCCUCAAAUGUUUUAUUAUCCUUAGGUGAACUUUUCUCUAUCUAUAUGGGCGUAGGCAGUCAUAGUGGGCCUGUGAAAGUCAACAAUAUGGAUGGCAUAAUAGGCAAUGGUUGCGUACUAGAUUGGUGGUCUUAUACUUAAAAGCAGUUUGCUCUGAUUCAAAGCAGGCGAAGUAGUUUCAGUGGUCUCAUACUUGUGGUAACUCUCUUCAUUUGUUGGUGCUCGGUGGUUGGCAAAAGCGCCUUCUGAAGAGUCGUACCCACGACCCAUCACCCUUUGGAAUAGAUCCUCAGGCCCAUCGCACGGCGAACUACCUAAAGCUUAGAGAGUUUGCAAGGAAAGGAGAUAGACUGACUAUCAGCGACUAGCUACAGGAAAGAGAUUCGGGUUGUUAGGCAAAGUUGGGAGAGAAGUAAGAAAUCGGUGAUAGAAGUAGUGCUCGAGAUAUAAGGAUAGGUCACAGGAAUAGGAAUAUGGAUAGCUCUCUCUCUAGUUUGAAGAAGGAUAGCUGGCUGGGAGAGUAGAACUAGUUAAAGCGCUGGCUGGUCAGAAGAAAGAACUUACUGUUGUACUGUAGUAUGGUAAUAAAAAACAUUGUAAAGGAAAAACUUAUCUUGUUC
rnacentral:lncRNA from 1 species